rnacentral:rRNA from 1 species
UACGGAAGGCAGCAGUGGGGAAUAUUGGACAAUGGGCGAAAGCCUGAUCCAGCCAUGCCGCAUGAGUGAAGAAGGCCUUCGGGUUGUAAAGCUCUUUUAGUGAGAAAGAUAAUGACGGUACUCACAGAAGAAGUCCUGGCUAACUCCGUGCCAGCAGCCGCGGUAAUACGGAGAGGGCUAGCGUUAUUCGGAAUUAUUGGGCGUAAAGAGCGCGUAGGCUGAUUAGUAAGUUAAAAGUGAAAUCCCAAAGCUUAACUUUGGAAUUGCUUUUUAAAACUGCUAGUCUAGAGAUUGAAAGAGGAUAGAGGAAUUCCUAGUGUAGAGGUGAAAUUCGUAAAUAUUAGGAGGAACACCAGUGGCGAAGGCGUCUAUCUGGUUCAAAUCUGACGCUGAGGCGCGAAGGCGUGGGGAGCGAAACAGGGAUUAGAUACC